AUUGAACGCUGGCGGCAUGCUUUACACAUGCAAGUCGAACGGUAACAGGCCGCAAGGUGCUGACGAGUGGCGAACGGGUGAGUAAUGCAUCGGAACGUGCCCAGUCGUGGGGGAUAACUACUCGAAAGAGUAGCUAAUACCGCAUACGAUCUAUGGAUGAAAGCGGGGGACCGUAAGGCCUCGCGCGAUUGGAGCGGCCGAUGUCAGAUUAGGUAGUUGGUGGGGUAAAGGCUCACCAAGCCAACGAUCUGUAGCUGGUCUGAGAGGACGACCAGCCACACGGGGACUGAGACACGGCCCAGACUCCUACGGGAGGCAGCAGUGGGGAAUGUUGGACAAUGGGCGCAAGCCUGAUCCAGCAAUGCCGCGUGCAGGAAGAAGGCCUUCGGGUUGUAAACUGCUUUUGUACGGAACGAAACGGCUCUGGUUAAUACCCGGGGCUAAUGACGGUACCGUAAGAAUAAGCACCGGCUAACUACGUG
rnacentral:rRNA from 1 species